AGGUAGUUGGUGAGGUAACGGCCCACCAAGCCGACGAUCGGUAGCCGACCUGAGAGGGUGAUCGGCCACAUUGGGACUGAGACACGGCCCAAACUCCUACGGGAGGCAGCAGUGGGAAUAUUGGGCAAUGGAGGAAACUCUGACCCAGCAACGCCGCGUGGAGGAAGAAGGUUUUCGGAUCGUAAACUCCUGUCCUUGGAGACGAGUAGAAGACGGUAUCCAAGGAGGAAGCCCCGGCUAACUACGUGCCAGCAGCCGCGGUAAUACGUAGGGGGCAAGCGUUGUCCGGAAUAAUUGGGCGUAAAGGGCGCGUAGGCGGCUCGGUAAGUCUGGAGUGAAAGUCCUGCUUUUAAGGUGGGAAUUGCUUUGGAUACUGUCGGGCUUGAGUGCAGGAGAGGUUAGUGGAAUUCCCAGUGUAGCGGUGAAAUGCGUAGAGAUUGGGAGGAACACCAGUGGCGAAGGCGACUAACUGGACUGUAACUGACGCUGAGGCGCGAAAGUGUGGGGAGCAAACAGGAUUAAAUACCCUGGUAGUCCACACUGUAAACGAUGAAUGCUAGGUGUAGGGGGUAUCGACCCCUUCUGUGCCGCAGUCAACACAAUAAGCAUUCCGCCUGGGGAGUACGGCCGCAAGGUUGAAACUCAAAGGAAUUGACGGGGGCCCGCACAAGCAGCGGAGCAUGUGGUUUAAUUCGACGCAACGCGAAGAACCUUACCAGGUCUUGACAUCCACUUAAACUUACAGAGAUGUAAGGUGUGCUUGCACAAAGUGAGACAGGUGGUGCAUGGUUGUCGUCAGCUCGUGUCGUGAGAUGUUGGGUUAAGUCCCGCAACGAGCGCAACCCUUAUCUUCAGUUACUAACGCGUGAGGGUGAGGACUCUGAAGAGACUGCCGGGGACAACUCGGAGGAAGGUGGGGACGACGUCAAAUCAUCAUGCCCCUUAUGACCUGGGCUACACACGUGCUACAAUGGCCACGACAGAGAGAAGCGAAAUCGCAAGGUAGAGCGGAACUCAAAAAAGUGGUCCCAGUUCGGAUUGUGGGCUGCAACCCGCCCACAUGAAGUCGGAGUUGCUAGUAAUCGCGGAUCAGCAUGCCGCGGUGAAUACGUUCCCGGGCCUUGUACACACCGCCCGUCACACCAUGGGAGUUGGGAGUGCCCAAAGCCGGUGAGGCAACCGCAAGGAGCCAGCCGUCUAAGGCAAGACCAAUGACUGGGGUGAAGUCGGAACAAGGUAGCCGUAUCGGAAGGUGCGGCUG
rnacentral:rRNA from 1 species